rnacentral:rRNA from 1 species
GACGAACGCUGGCGGCGUGCCUAAUACAUGCAAGUCGAACGCAGUGGGGACGGGUGAGUAACACGUGGGUAACCUCCCAUCAGAGGGGAUAACCCUUGGAAACAGCUGCUAAACCGAUACUGAUUUAUGGCCCCGCGGUGCAUUAGCUAGGUGGUGCGGUAACGGCGAACCAAGGCCACGAUGCAUAGCCGACAUGAGAGGGGGAGCGGACACACUGGGACUGAGACACGGGCCAGACGACUACGGGAGGCAGAAGUAGGGAAUAUUCGGCAAUGGACGAAAGGCUGACCGAGCAACGCCGCGGGAGUGAAGAAGGUGUUCGGGUCGUAAAGCUCUGGUGUUAGAGAAGCGGUAUCUAACCAGAAAGCCACGGCUAACUACGUGCCAGCAGCCGCGGUAAUUC